GACAGAGGGUGCAAACGUUGUUCGGAAUUACUGGGCGUAAAGCGCGUGUAGGCUGUUUCGCAAGUCGGAUGUGAAAGCCCUGGGCUCAACCUAGGAAGUGCACUCGAAACUGCGAAACUGGAGUCCUGGAGAGGAAGGCGGAAUUCUCGGUGUAGAGGUGAAAUGCGUAGAUAUCGGGAGGAACACCGGUGGCGAAGGCGGCGAUCUGGGUCGAUACUGACGCUGAGGUGCGAAAGCGUGGGGAGCAAACAGG
rnacentral:rRNA from 1 species